GAGCCUUCUCUCUCUCUCUCUCUCUCUCUCUCUCUCUCUCUCUCUCUCUCUCUCUCUCUCACACACACACACAGACUGCACCUCUGUUUAGUGUGAAAAUCUGAUUUUCAUCUGAUCGGAUGAGUUUUUAACUGUUGAACUGGCUUUUCUGUUAUUGGCCCUUUUUUCAUUAUUAAUUUGGAGGUGGAGACCUGUUAGGACCACGCGUUUACACCCCAGGAGCGCGCAGAUUGGCACUCACUGGAACAAAAAACAGUGCAGCGAGUGCAGCGCAGGCAGGUCUAUGAGGGGCCGUAUAGGCCAAAACUCAAACUCACCUCGCAUACACAAUAUUGAAAAUGUUUGGGCUCACACACAUACUACUGAAAUAUUCUCACAUUCCCUACUGAACACCUCACACACUUACAAGUGAAAAUUAAGCAUCACACACUGACCACUGAAAACCUCUCAUUCUUAUUGUUAGGGACCUCAUAUUAUAUACUGAACCCCUCACACACAUGACUGAAAACGGUACCUCUCGCGCACACACUACUGAAAACGGUCCCUCACACACACCACUGAAAACGGUACCUCUCACACACACCACUGAGAACGGUACCUCUCACACAAACCACUGAGAACGGUACCUCUCACACACACCACUGAGAACGGUACCUCUCACACACAUCACUGAGAACGGUACCUCUCACACAAACCACUGAGAACGGUACCUCAUACACGCACUACUGAAAACGGUACCUCGCACACAGUAUUGAAAAUGGUACCUCACACGCACUACUGAAAACGGUACCUCCCACAAACACAACUGAAAACGGUGCCUCACACACAAACCACUGAAAACAGUACCUCACACACAAACCACUGAAAACGGUACCUCUCACACGCACCACUGAGAACGGUACCUCGCACACACGCUACUGAAAACGGUACCCCGCACACACACUACUGAGAACGGAACCUUGCACACGCACUACUGAAAACCGUCCGUCACACACACAGUAUUGAAACUGCUUCCUCGCACACACACACUACUGAAAGGAAGGAAAGGAAGUCAGGUGACCAUAAAGUAAGACCAAAUAUUUCAAAAUAAAAGCCCGGAAAAUAGAUAGAUAGAUAGAUAGAUAGAUAGAUAGAUCGACCUGCAAACUAAGUAAAUAUUGUGUGUGCAGGGCUGUUAGCCUAUUAUUAGAACUGAUAUUUUAUUUUAUUUUCAACAUAAAGCCAAGCUCAUGUUUACCCUCUCUACCAGGAGAUGCAGUGUUGGGAUAGUAACUCUGUUACUUUUGUCAGUAGGCUAACUUGUAGCUACUGUAACAUUCUUUUUAAAAUUAUUUUACUAAAUUAUAUUUACUGAAUAGCUUGUUACUUCAUUAUUAUCUUUCAUCAGGCAUCCAUCAGGCGUAAAAGAGGGGAUUAUGCGUUUGGUCAUGGCCUACCUGCUAGCGUCCACAGCUCCCUUGUCUGGACUGAGCUCAUCCAUCGCGUUUGCUACUGUCAAUACAAUAAAAAAGGCCAUGUAAAAAGGCUAUAUAUAUAUAUAUAAACCUGUUCAAUAAGCACAUGCAGAAAACAAUAUUUUUAUCUUCUCUGUCUGCAGUCUCUCAUUCACUGCCAUAAAUGUUUUACAGAAACACAGCGCAACCCUACCAUUCACGAAUUGUUGGAAACGAUCUGACAGUUUAAUGGUUUAGCUUAGUUUGUCUUAGGUUGGCCUAUAUAUCUUGAAAUGUGGCAAAUUCUUGUAAACAAACAAACAAACAGCUCUUUCACCAUCUUCCAUAUAAUUAAUAGGCACAUCAAUGACGUCAUUGGACUGUGACGUGGAUUGACUUGAUACAUAACAUCAGCAGAAGACAGAGUCUGUACGGUGAUGUCAGGAAUAUAAUUUAUUUUAUUGCAUUUUAGAUUAGUUUCCAUAGUUUCCAAUGCCCAGAGUUUAUAAAAUGACUUAGCUGUUUUAAAUGUUAUUGUUGCCGCAACAUUUAGUUAUAUUUAGGCUAAAAUGAAUUAGGCUAUUAUCCUGUUCUUAAUUUAUUCUUUCAUAAAGUAAUCGCAUGAUUCCGGCCGAGAUAAUAACAACAGGGUUCAAAUAAAAUAAAUAGGCAUUACUAAUGGCAGCAUUUGAAAGUACACGACACUGAGUAGAUGGCAGUAUGAGUGUAUUUACAUGUGUGCCUGGUUUGUAUGUUUAUAACUGUUACUCUAGUUCAUAUGCCAACAAUUAUCCAGGUCUUGAUAUAGAUGUAUUGAAUUAUGAUUAUUUAAUUUGCUAUAUUAUGGUUUAUUUGGAUCCUAGUUAUAUACAUGUUUUUACUUAGUAUUUACACUGCACCUUCAUCACUGUAUCAUAUCAUUAUCAUCAUUCACCCUCAACUCAGUCAAACCUGCAUGUCCUACUGUCCUAACUCUGCUGUAUCACAUAUUUCACUAUAAUAUCAAAAUCAUUUCAUGCUUACAUCUGGGCACUGUAUUUCACCCAUGUGUGUGCGUAAGGAUUCUUGCUGAUACGGAAGUCAUUGUGAUGAAACGAAAGUCAUUGUGAUGAAAUGGAAGUCAUUGUGAUGAAACGGAAGUCAUUGUGAUGAAAUGGAACACUAGAAUGGCCAUGCCGGGAAAAAUUUAAUCGUGCUGAUACCUAACUUUUAUUGAAAGUGUCUUUAUUUUCAUUUAAAAAUAUUUUGCUAUAUAUAUAUUACACAAACGACAAUGAAAAUAUAUAUAUAUAUUUUUAACUAUUUCAGUAGUACAUUAUCAUAUUGACCGCACGGAAUGUCGCUAUUAAUUUUUCCAGCAGUUGAUCUUGGUGGCUUAGCAACGUUCAUUAUUCUAUUUUCAGAUUUUCCGUUGGUGGAUCCUUGCUAUCAUUGUCUUAGUCUAGAGUGCUAUUUACUUUGCACUUCUAGGACACGCAGCCUCGACAGCCUCCGGUGCUGCUGCAACCACCGGUGGAAGAGACACGGAGAUUCAUCUCGACGAAAACAUGAACUGUGCACCCUAAAUUUAAUUUCCCAACGUUUGCUGACUUCCAAAUUAACCAGCAUAAUGAUUUCAGUAAUAAGAACCAACGUGUAUUGCUGCAAAGCAGCCGUGAAAUGCACCAGCUGAUAAGCUAAUAUUAUUGUUAACUAGCAUUAGCAUCGUAUUUUGUCAAACUUAAUGUUAGAACCCAGAAGUGUAGUUAAAUAAUGAUAGCUUGUGACUUUAUUUGCACAGUUAAUACAUUUGAACUUUAUGGAUUUAACGGGGCCGUUAUUGCCUGGGUGCAGAGCCCACUCCACAGAGUUGAGUGAUUGAAAUGGAGAUUUUAGGUAAGUUACUUUAACGGUAAUGAGGGUCUGUUAACGUCAACUUCGGUUCUGGUAGAGACUACUGGUAACGUUAAUGUAGGGACAGAUACUCCUAACGUUACAGAGCUUCAGUGUUGUACAGGGGCGGACUGGACAUCUGGACAGAACGACCGACGGCCCAGCUGGUAUUUGGAUACGAUGUUUAGUUAUUGCAUGCUUGUUUUGUUGUGCGCGUGUAACGUGCUCUGUCAGUCGAUUGUUUUGCUGCGCACACGCCGACAUAUUAGCAGGCGUGCUCGCGGUACCAAACUACGAGCUCUGGCGUUUAGCAUCAUCGCUAACGCGAAUGUCAUAUAUCCGAAUGUUGGGAGUUCAAAGUCGCCUUAUGACAUAUGAUACUCAUCUUCCCUCUGUUCCUUCUGCACAUUGUAAGCUCUGUAAAGGUAGAUAAAGGCAGGACUUAAACCUUCUGUUUAGGUUUGGCUGUUAUGAUUACAUUUUCUUUUGUAACAUUUUGCUUCUGUUCUGAAACAGGUCGAGGGAAAUGUUGGAAUCUGCUGUAAAGGACAGGGAGACAGGUCCUCAUCUGUCUGUUAUUUUAUUAAGGGGAAACAUUCGUACUGACAAUAUCACAGGAUCAACUGCAGCAAUGAGUCUGGAGGGGGAAGCUACUAGAACAGCACUGGAGAAGAUGUUCGGCAGUCGUCUUCACACCAUCAGACCUUCUCACUCCCUCAUCCUCCACUUUGCAUCAACACACUGGGUUCUCCUUCCUUUGGAUGUACAGCAGGCUUCUCUGUGCAGUCUUGCAUUUGAAGUUGGUUGUCAGACCAUUGAUGCAUACGCAUCAGCCCUCAUGGAGUCACUGAGAGAGGACUACAUCACAUCAUCAAAGACUACGAGAGCCGAGCUGCAUCGUCCUCCACUACACCUGCCUUCCUUUCCACAUCCUGCCACAGAUCACCAGGGACCGUGCCUGUCUCUCACACAACAUUCACAGUUUAACACAGGACUAAACUGUAAUAGUUUACAUGUUCAGAUUAUUAUUAGUCAAGACAAAGUCAGAUUAAACUCUCCAUUUCAUAUUCAUAUGAACCAAAGAGGUUACAUACCGAGUCCCAUGUAUUUAUUGUGAGAUUUAGUUUGAUGAAAUCUGGUAAACGAUCAGGCUAUGAGCCAAAGAUCAAUUGACUAAUAUUUAGUAAUUUAGCCUUUUAAAGGUUUUGUAAACAUUGCAUGAUGUUUGUUUUUACCUUUUUCACUAAUUACUUUUGCAUAUGGUAGUCAGUUGAGAAAAAACGUGUUUAUUUUCUCAUGAUUGUCUAUGUGUGCAUUUUGAUCUAAAGCCUGAAGCAAAUUAAAACAUUUUUCUAAUAAUAAAAUAGCUAAUUUAAGAUUGCAUAGUUUUUGUUGGAAGUACGCUCUCUGGGUGCUUUUUAGUUUUAAAUGGAUAAUUAUUUUUUUCCUUUUGACCAUUUGGUACAUCCACAUACUUAUUCUAAAAAGUUCAAUUCUUGUGCUUUGAGUUUUGGUGGUGCAGUUAACUCUUAGUUUACAUUUGUAUUGCAAUAUGUUUCUUAUCGUCUUAACUGCAGUUCCUGAAUAUAAGAAUACAUUAAUAGUUUGUAUAUUUAGGAAUGUUGGUUAAUAGUCUUGCAACUUCUGUAUGCAGGCCUAACAGUUAAAGCAGUAUCUGAUCUUUACUGCUGUUGUAAGGGUUUUCAUACAGUAAGACACUUUGUGAUUAUUUUGUAGUUUGUCACCCAAACAAGACCAUUCAUAACCAUUGUAAAUCCCUCCUCCUUUUGGAAACCGUCUACUGAUGACGGACACGUGAGGGUAAGGGCUUUUUCUAAUGUGUAGGCCCAGCAGAUGACCUGCAUGACAGCUGUUUAAUGACAGUGCCUGGCGAUUUGGACACAAUAUCUACAGUUAAUAAUGAUAUUAACAUCAAAAAGUUGAUAUAGCGAUGAUGUAGAGAGCUGCCCAGUCGUUCACUUGUCACAACUCAAUUUCUGGCUGAUAUCAGUUAUUUCUCCUGUUCCUGUCUUUUGGGCACUUCUCAGGCUCAUACUUUUGAGGCUGUGGUCUGUCAUAUGCAUAUGAAUAUACAUUUUCAACCUCUUAGUGUCAAAAUAAGCAUUGUGAUCCAUAUAAAUUAUAAUAUUAAACUGACCAUUUAACCCGAGCCUACGUAACGUCCGUUUAGUCGGUUUUUGAUUCGAGAGUAAAAUAUCUGGGAAAACUACUCCAGAUGUAGCUAUAGUGUAUAUUUGUGUAUAUUUUUAUGAAUUUAUACAUAAUUUUCCUACACAUUGAGUAACAUGGUUUUGUGAUACAGUAGGUUGCGAUAAUGCUUCCUCUGGUUGCAAGUCGUCAUUAAAAAGAAGAACGAAAUGGAAGUCAUUAUAAUGAAAAAAACUAAAAAGCGCCAACUAUGUUGGUAAAGCCAAGACUUGCGAUAUAAUCUCAGACUUAACAAAGGAAUUAGGAUUCAAUGAGUGGGUUACAAGUCCAACCGUUUUAAUGCCAGCUGUACCACCAUGGUUACUGCCUCAGCCAGUUGAUUUUUCCAUAUCGAAACAAGUACAUUCAAGCUAAAAUGUAAUUAAUAUGCAAGCUAAUGUAAACGCUGCUUCAUGACAGUUGUGGGUAUUGUGUACAUUUAUUUACUGAUUGUUCUAAAACGCCAGAGAAUGGAAUAACAAGUUGUGCUUUAUAUUCCAUGAUUAAAAGUUAAGGUGUCUAAAAGAUGAACUCAUCCUUUAUCUGUGUAUACUGUAUAUAUCUGAAAUAUGGUGUUAAAACUCAUAUUCACAUAUCUACAACAGACUGGACUAAUAACAAGAAUGUAAGGAAAUAUAAAGAGUUAUAUAGUAGGUGGCGCUAAUGCGCUGACUGUUUGCAAGUUGCCAUUGAAAGAAGAAGAGGAAGAAGCGCCAACUCUCAGAAAAAGACGUAAUAGCAACAUGGCAAGUCACACCGAUCAUCUGAAUCAGGCAGCAGCGUUAAUAAGUAGCAUAUUAACAAAUGCGCAGCAGGCUCCCUCACCCGCCGGGAGGAGUAACUUCCACUCGGUAGAUGGAGAUGGCCACUCUUUUCCGCCAGUCCAACUCCACCGAUAACGGCUCAAGGCCACAGCCGUCAUCAAAUCGUCAUAGAGUUCGGCAAAACUUUAGCUCAUGGGCCACUGGAAGCAGGAGGAGGAGGUAAGAUUAUUUGAGUUAAAUGUUAACUUGUUUAUUAAUAAUAUGUUUACCUAGCUCUUUUAUUCAACAUUAACGCAGCUCUUGGAAGAGCCAGGUUAGGUGUCACCCAUUCAUUCUCUCCUCAGUCAUCCUCCCACUAGCUGCAGCUGUUGUCUCUGACCAGCAAAAGUAGUUUACUUUCACUGCCUUUAGUGGCCUUUUUUUUUUUACCUUUGUGGCAACAAGCAUUGUCUCCAUUGAUUUCCGCUGGUACUGGAUGCAUGUAGGGCAAACACUGACACCCAGAGUGCAAUUACAUUGUCAUAAUUGCAUUGUAUAAUGACAACAAGGUUUUACUCUUCUUGCUUCCCACUUCCCACUACAGACCCACUUCUGUAGAGUACCAUGACUCUUUUAACAAGGAUGUCAUUCUACUCCCUGACCCCACAUGGGAGUUUGUAUGCAGUUUUUGCAUGAAAAUGGUCACAUCCUCAGUGCAUUCGAGUUUCAUAAAUCCUGGAACCAGUCGAGUGUAUUCCAACAGAUUCGGGAUGAGUUUAAAACCAGAAUUCCUGAUGAUGUGAGCCUGCAGUUUCUAAUGGCCUGUGGUAAUAAACUUGUGACACCUAAACUAAAAGAAAGUCAAGAGUUGGAUGGUCACACGCUCCAUAAGGACUUCAGGUCAAAAGCCUCGUAUGUCAAACCAUCAGUUGCUAUUCUUCGUUACAACAGCGAUACUGAUGAUCAGUCCAGUGCUGUGCAGGAGGGUCCCAGCACUAGAUCCAAGUCAAGGGCCAAUCAGCCCAUAGAAGAGGGUGGUGCCAUUAUGCUGGAUGACACAGCCACCCCCAGCCUGCCACUCAACUGUGAUCUUCAGACCACAAUCUCUCCGCCUCAUACCAACAACUCCAGCUCCAGCUCUCUCCUACCCAAUCAAAAUGCCAGUGUUGAUCCAGUGACAAGUGUCACUAUGAUGACUUCACAGUCUCCAGCUCGACCAGUGUCCCCACAUCUGACUAUUCGUCAUAUGUAACCUUAAUGAGAGAUUUCUCAGAUUUAUCGUCAGAUGAUGAGGACUUAAACCG